AUAUUCCCUUUGGCAGCAUGUAUUCUAAAAUUGGAACAAUACAGAGAAGGUUACACGGUCCUUAUCAAGGAUGACACACAAAUUCAUGAAGCAUUCCAUGUUUUU